AGCAUCGACUCUCACUGCCAUAAUAAAGAUGUGAGAUCUCCAUCCCCUCAACCUCCUCAGCCGGUCAAUUUAUUACCGAGAGUUGACUCCGAUGGACUCGUCGCCGGCGGUCGGUGGAGAAAUUGUGGAUGCUGCGGAGAUGAAGAAGGUGGCGCUGAUGAGGGCUCUCGUCGAGGAGAAGGAUCCUGCUGCCAAGCAAGAAGAUGAUCUUAUGCUCAGAAGAUUUUUGCGGGCACGUGAUUUGGACAUUGAGAAGGGAUCGAGCCUUUUUCUGAAAUAUCUCGAAUGGAAACGUCACUCUGUGCCAAAUGGUUACAUAUCAAAAUCAGAAGUCCAGAAUGAGCUUGCUCAUAAAAAGGUGUUUCUGCAGGGAUUUGAUAAGCAGCAACGCCCGAUAGCAGUUGUAUUUGCUGCUAGACAUUAUUCCUCUAAACGAGACAUUGAGGAGUUUAAGCGGCUCAGUGUGCAUGUUCUCGA
rnacentral:misc_RNA from 1 species